rnacentral:rRNA from 1 species
UACGUAGGGGGCAAGCGUUGUCCGGAAUCAUUGGGCGUAAAGAGCGCGUAGGCGGCUCGGUAAGUCCGCUGUGAAAGCCCAGGGCUCAACCCUGGAAUGCCGGUGGAAACUGUCGAGCUAGAGUCCGGAAGAGGCGAGUGGAAUUCCUGGUGUAGCGGUGAAAUGCGCAGAUAUCAGGAGGAACACCAAUGGCGAAGGCAGCUCGCUGGGACGGUACUGACGCUGAGGCGCGAAAGCGUGGGGAGCAAACAGG